AAGCAUGGGGACUGUCUUCCUCUCAUGUUUGCUGCUACUUUGUUUUCUGGGAUCAAUAUCAGUCAUCUGCUUGAACCCUAAUACACCUUUUAUUUUAUUUAUUCAAAACACACUUUUAGAAUACAAGGAAAAGAACUAAUGUGAUUAAAUAAGGUUUAUCCUAAAUCCUUGAGUGUUAUGACAGUUGCAGACUAUACAGAAAGAUUACCCAGGUAUUUAACCCUAAAACGCCAAACGUAUCAUAUUUGAUACAUGAGUUUGUCAGCCCUCCACGUGAGCAGUGUGGAAUUUUUUUGCCUGAAAAACCUGAUGUAUACAAUCAGAUACAUGCAGUGCAUAGAUAAACCAACAGGGGGUAGUAAGUCACUCAUUAGCGGUCCUUCCAGUGACACUUCAAGAUUGCCAUGAAUCAGGAAGUGGACGCCGGUGGUUUUUGGAGAAGAACUUUGCCAAGUUUGAAAAGGUUAAGAUGGCCAAAAAAUACAGUGCUGAAGAUGCUCUCAAAAUGAUUAUGGAUGGGAAUUCAAGUGACAUAGAGCAGAUACAGGAAGAUGAUGAUGAUGACGAUGAUGUGGAGGAUGAAGAAUGGACUCCUACUGCAAAGAUUGGGGAAACCUCAGAUCGCAGUGAUGAGGAUGAGGAGGAAAUCCCAGAUAGUAGUGAUGAUGAUAAAAGACCAGAAGUCCCAGAAGACACAAUAAAAUCAAGGGACACAACACUGAAGCAGUUGGCAAGGGGUAACAUGAAAAGGAAGAUAUAUCGGUGGAAAAGAAAACAGGUUGAACUUCCAUCUGUCGAGUUGGUGCAAUGCGUUGAGGAAGACUCUGAAGAGAGGCUUGACUGGAUGAAGAGACCUGGAGAAGCUGCAGCCCGGGGAGAAGCCCCUACCUCUUUCAGGUUUCAGGCUUCUGUUGGCACUGCCCUCACAAGGGCAGGAAAAGUCAAAAGGUGUGGCAGACCAAUGACCUCUCCAGAAGCAACAUCAACCCCUCCCCGAAAGAGGAAAACCACUGAGGUCCCCCCUGAUGUGAGAAAGGAUGUCAUGAAUCAUUUUCCAACAUGGGAAACCCGACAGAGAUGCAAGAAGUGCACAGGCCACUUUACCCAUGUGUACUGUCAGAAGUGCAUCUUUGCUUGAACAAGGACAGAAACUGUUUUCAAGCCUACCACCAUGCAAAGUGAAAAGGUCGUGAACCGCAAAAUGGGUAAAAAUAACUGAACGUUAUGUUUUUCAGGCUUCCACCCAGUCAGUUCCAUUGGUGGAUUUCCAACUACUGCAUUAUGGCAGCACUUUGUAUGUUUGGAAAUAGACAUUUGUUGGAUUUGUUUUUGAUUCAUUAUGUUUUUGUUUGUUCAGGGAAAAAAACAAUCGCUAAGCAUUGUGACCUGAUGUAUCAAAUAUGAUACAAAUUGAAACUCAUAAAUGGAAAAUGAUAUUUGAAAAAUUUUUUUUUUGUUUGUUAAGAGGGACUAAUAAAGGCUCCAAGUUCAAAAAAUUGGAAUUUUCUGUCAAUUAUUUAAUGG